AAAUUGAAGAGUUUGAUCAUGGCUCAGAUUGAACGCUGGCGGCAGGCCUAACACAUGCAAGUCGAACGGUAACAGGAAGAAGCUUGCUUCUUUGCUGACGAGUGGCGGACGGGUGAGUAAUGUCUGGGAAACUGCCUGAUGGAGGGGGAUAACUA
rnacentral:rRNA from 1 species